UACAGAGGUCCCAAGCGUUGUUCGGAUUUACUGGGCGUAAAGGGUUCGUAGGCGGUGGGGUAAGUUUGAGGUGAAAGCUCCGGGCUCAACCCGGAAACUGCCUUGAAAACUAUCCGGCUAGAGGGUUGGAGGGGAGACUGGAAUUCUCGGUGUAGCAGUGAAAUGCGUAGAUCUCGAGAGGAACACCAGUGGCGAAGGCGGGUCUCUGGACAACACCUGACGCUGAGGCACGAAAGCCAGGGGAGCAAACGGG
rnacentral:rRNA from 1 species